rnacentral:rRNA from 1 species
UGCCAGCAGCCGCGGUAAUACGGAGGGUGCAAGCGUUGUUCGGAUUUAUUGGGCGUAAAGCGAGUGUAGGCGGUUUGUCAAGUCGGGUGUGAAAUCCCAGGGCCCACCCCUGGAACUGCACCCGAUACUGGCAGGCUAGAGUCCCGGAGAGGAUGGCGGAAUUCCCGGUGUAGGGGUGAAAUCCGUAGAUAUCGGGAGGAACACCAGUGGCGAAGGCGGCCAUCUGGACGGUGACUGACGCUGAGGCUCGAAAGCGUGGGUAGCAAACAGGAUUAGAUA